GACGUAGGGCGCGAGCGUUGUCCGGAUUUAUUGGGCGUAAAGAGCUCGUAGGCGGUUUGUCGCGUCGUCUGUGAAAACCCACGGCUCAACUGUGGGCUUGCAGUCGAUACGGGCAGGCUAGAGUUCGGUAGGGGAGACUGGAAUUCCUGGUGUAGCGGUGGAAUGCGCAGAUAUCAGGAGGAACACCAAUGGCGAAGGCAGAUCUCUGGGCCGUAACUGACGCUGAGGAGCGAAAGCAUGGGGAGCGAACAGG
rnacentral:rRNA from 1 species